CCUACGGGCGGCAGCAGUGGGGAAUAUUGCACAAUGGAGGGAACUCUGAUGCAGCGACGCCGCGUGAGUGAAGAAGUAAUUCGUUAUGUAAAGCUCUAUCAGCAGGGAAGAAAGUGACGGUACCUGACAAAGAAGCUCCUGCUACAUACGUGCCAGCAGCCUCGGUAAUACGUAUGGGGCACGCUUUAUCCGGAUUUACUGGGGGUAAAGGGAGAGGAGGUGGCAGAGCAAGUCCGAAGUGAAAAACAAAAGCUCAACUAUGGUAAUGCUUUAGAAACUGCUCAGCUAGAGUGCAGGAGAGGCAAGUGGAAUGCUUAGUGUAGCGGUGAAAUGCGUAGAUAUUAGGAGGAACACCAGUGGCGAAGGCGGCUUGCUGGACUGUAACUGACGCUGAGGCUCGAAAGCGUGGGGAGCAAACAGGAUUAGAUACCCCUGUAGUC
rnacentral:rRNA from 1 species